CAGGGCAGUCCCAGGAACAAAGUAGGGACUCGGAUUCUAGAACAGUGCCUGGCUCGUGGUAGACACUCAAGUACUUUUCAAAGCCUCGCACGUGGUGGGCGCUCAAAGACUUGUCGAAUGAAUGAAUUGCAUUCUAUUCCUACAGUUCUGUAGCCCUGUCACUUAUCGUUCCUUCCUGUAGACGAGUAGCUGAAGUGAACAUUACCCAUGUUUAAACGCUAUUAAAGAAAACAUUUCCAAACGA